AGCAAGCAAGCAGGGAAGGAGGAAAGGGAAGGAUGGAGGGAGGGAAGGGAGGCUCUGUCUCUAUUUGGAGUAUGUAGUUUGGGUUUUUGUCUCAAGUAUACGGAGUUAGUGAAACCUGACCUGUCAGCUGAUGUCCAGGUGGUUGCGAACUUCAAUGGACGUAAACAUCACUUCAGGAGCCAGCAGUUUUGUGGCCAACCUGUGGAGACACCUACUUUGGGCAAGGGUAUCCUCAUAUCUAACUGCCCGGACUGGAAAAAAGGUGUCAGCGUAUGACUAAAAAGAAUUCAGUGAAACCCCAGUAAACUCUACCCCCAGUGUGGGAUUGGAACUCCCCACCAGAGAUCGGGAGUUGCAUGCUGUACUGACUGAGCCAGCGAGGCACCCAUAGAAAUCAUCUUUUUCAUCAAAUGGCUUCACCAACCUCUUUAGAAUCCAGGACACCAUACUCUCCUGACGUACCUUACAUUUCAUCGCCUACUUCUCAAACUUUAUUGGCUCCUUCUUGUAUCCCGAACAGCUAAACAAAGGAGGACCCCAGGGCACAGACAUUGAACCUCUUAUCAGUCUAACUUUACUCACAAGUUUUCCACUCCAAGAUGGAUUCCAAAGUCUACAUCCAUCUGCCUACACAUCCAGACUUGUUUGUCUAAUAGACAACUUUCAGUCGACUGGCCAGCAGCAUUUGACACAAGAUUGCUCAGGCUGCUGUAUGAAAAAAGGAUUCAAGGGGAUCAAGAAAUGAUAUAGGAACACUAGUGAGAAGGCUAAGGCAAAAAGUAAGGUCCAGGUAAAAAGUACUAUUGGUGUGACCUCUAGUUGUGGUAGACAUGAAGAACAGUGGAACCAUUUAAAAUUAGAUUAAAGGUGGAGUCAAAGGACUUGAUGAUGGAUUGGAGGGAGGUGGGGAGGAAGAGAAAAAAUUGUUAUAAGAGACAUUAUCUCCUAAUGUUCAAGGUCGUGACAAACUCUCAGAAAAAUAAACCAAAUUGUCCUGUGGGAAGGUAUGUCAGAAGGGUAGUAGAAUGAUACUAACUCUCUAAGGCCAGUUAUUUCCUAACAAUCUCUUAAAGAACAUAACACAGUUAUAUUUUUCAUGUAAUGCCCACUAAUUGCUUAUCCAGCCAGUAAUAAAUGCAGAACUUCAUCUCAGGAGAAAAGUUUCACAUACAAAUAUGUAAAUAUCUGAUUAAAAAAAUGAAAAGAACUCUGAGGAGACUCAGGAAAUGGAUAAGCUCGUGACUGUCAUGAAGGCACAACUGAGCGCUUGUGAUCACUGUACCCAAGUUCCAAGACAUCUGCCUUUAAACAUGAAACUGUUUAGGGGUGCCUGGGUGACUCAGUGGGUUAAGCAUCCACCUUGGGCUCAGGUCAUGAUCUUGCCGUCUGUGAGUUUGAGCCCGAUGUCAGGCUCUGAGCUGACAGCGUGGAGCCUGGAGCCUGCUUCGAUUCUGUGUCUCCCUCUCUCUCUCUCUCUCUUCCCCUCCCCUGCUCUCCCCC